UGAGGAAUAUUGGUCAAUGGCCGGAAGGCUGAACCAGCCAAGUCGCGUGAGGGAAUAAGGCCCUACGGGUCGUAAACCUCUUUUGUCAGGGAGCAAGGCCGUCACGAGUGGACGGAAGGAGAGUACCUGAAGAAAAGCAUCGGCUAACUCCGUGCCAGCAGCCG
rnacentral:rRNA from 1 species